rnacentral:lncRNA from 1 species
CCAGACUAGCUCCAACAGGGCAGAGCGGACUCCUAACAGGCUCAGCUGUUACACCUGUGCCAUGGCUGCAACCCUGUGCUCCUCUCGCCCAGGCACGGCACAGGCUCACCACGCAGGGAACACGCCUCUCACCCAGGCACGGCGCAGGCUCACCACUCAGGGAACACGCCUCUCGCCCAGGCACGGCGCAGGCUCACCACACAGGGAACACGCCUCUCGCCCAGGCACGGCGCAGGCUCACCACGCAGGGAACACGCCUCUCGCCCAGGCACGGCGCAGGCUCACCACGCAGGGAACACGCCUCUCGCCCAGGCACGGCGCAGGCUCACCACGCAGGGAACACGCCUCUCGCCCAGGCAUGGCGCAGGCUCACCACGCAGGGAACACGCCUCUCGCCCACAGCGCAGCCUUGAUCUCGCAGGUUCAAGCAACCCUCCUGCCUCCCAAAGUGUUGGAAUUACAGCUGUAAGCCACUGUGCGCAACCAACCUUUCUUCCUUUUAAUGUAUGCAUUUGAAGUUACACAUUUCCUCUAAACCCUGCUUCAGAUGCACCCCACACAUCUGGUCACUUAACGAGCAUACGGUCUCUGGGUGUUUUCCUGUCACUGAUUCCCACUUUAAUCCACUGUGGAGAUGCCUUGAGACUUGCUGUACGACCCAACGUGGAGUCCACUUUAAUAAACGCCCACUUGAACAGAUGCCAUUUCUCCAAGUAUUCGCUGAAGUUUGCAAAACUCAGGUCAAGUUGGUUAAACCUUGUAAAAAAAAAAAAACUAUAUCCUGUUCUUGUCUACCUGUUCCACUGCCUGGGGAGAGAGGCGGCCAUCAGCGUGGGCCUGUCAACUUCACCCCUCAUUCUGCCCCUUUGUGCUGCCUGUACUGAAGCCAUGUCACUGCCCUCGCCCCUGCAACGUCACCCGUCACCUCCUGCCUUGCUCUAUC